rnacentral:rRNA from 1 species
AUUGAACGCUGGCGGCAGGCCUAACACAUGCAAGUCGAGCGGAUGAAGGGAGCUUGCUCCUGGAUUCAGCGGCGGACGGGUGAGUAAUGCCUAGGAAUCUGCCUGGUAGUGGGGGAUAACGUCCGGAAACGGGCGCUAAUACCGCAUACGUCCUGAGGGAGAAAGUGGGGGAUCUUCGGACCUCACGCUCUCAGAUGAGCCUAGGUCGGAUUAGCUAGUUGGUGGGGUAAAGGCCUACCAAGGCGACGAUCCGUAACUGGUCUGAGAGGAUGAUCAGUCACACUGGAACUGAGACACGGUCCAGACUCCUACGGGAGGCAGCAGUGGGGAAUAUUGGACAAUGGGCGAAAGCCUGAUCCAGCCAUGCCGCGUGUGUGAAGACGGUCUUCGGAUUGUAAAGCACUUUAAGUGGGGAGGAAGGGCAGUAAGUUAAUACCUUGCUGUUGUGACGUUACCAACAGAAUAAGCACCGGCUAACUUCGUG